CAAUAGCAUAUAUUAACGUUGUUGCAGUUGAAAAGCUCGUAGUUGAACUUUUGGUAGGAGCGACCUGGCCUUGGGCGCAUGCCCUUGUUUGCCGUGUGUCGUAUCUGGCCAUCCUUUUCCGUUUCGGCGGGAAUCUUUUACUGUGAGUAAACUGGAGUGCUCAAAACAAGACGUUUGUUUGGUACAUUAAAGCAUGGAAUAAUAAGAUAGGACCUGGUUACUAUUUUGUUGGUUUGCAUAGCUAGGUAAUGAUUAACAGGGACAGUUGGGGGUAUUCGUAUUCCAUUGUCAGAGGUGAAAUUCUUGGAUUUUUGGAAGACGAACUACUGCGAAAGCAUUUACCAAGGAUGUUUUCAUUAA
rnacentral:rRNA from 1 species